rnacentral:rRNA from 1 species
GGGCUAAACCAUGCACCGAAGCUGCGGCAGCGACACUGUGUGUUGUUGGGUAGGGGAGCGUUCUGUAAGCCUGCGAAGGUGGCCUGUGAGGGUUGCUGGAGGUAUCAGAAGUGCGAAUGCUGACAUAAGUAACGAUAAAGCGGGUGAAAAGCCCGCUCGCCGGAAGACCAAGGGUUCCUGUCCAACGUUAAUCGGGGCAGGGUGAGUCGACCCCUAAGGCGAGGCCGAAAGGCGUAGUCGAUGGGAAACGGGUUAAUAUUCCCGUACUUGGUGUUACUGCGAAGGGGGGACGGAGAAGGCUAUGUUGGCCGGGCGACGGUUGUCCCGGUUUAAGCGUGUAGGUGUGUGUUCCAGGUAAAUCCGGUUCACUUUAACACUGAGGCGUGACGACGAGGCACUACGGUGCUGAAGCAACAAAUGCCCUGCUUCCAGGAAAAGCCUCUAAGCAUCAGGUAACAUCAAAUCGUACCCCAAACCGACACAGGUGGUCAGGUAGAGAAUACCAAGGCGCUUGAGAGAACUCGGGUGAAGGAACUAGGCAAAAUGGUGCCGUAACUUCGGGAGAAGGCACGCUGACACGUAGGUGAAGUGAUUUACUCAUGGAGCUGAAGUCAGUCGAAGAUACCAGCUGGCUGCAACUGUUUAUUAAAAACACAGCACUGUGCAAACACGAAAGUGGACGUAUACGGUGUGACGCCUGCCCGGUGCCGGAAGGUUAAUUGAUGGGGUCAGCGCAAGCGAAGCUCCUGAUCGAAGCCCCGGUAAACGGCGGCCGUAACUAUAACGGUCCUAAGGUAGCGAAAUUCCUUGUCGGGUAAGUUCCGACCUGCACGAAUGGCGUAAUGAUGGCCAGGCUGUCUCCACCCGAGACUCAGUGAAAUUGAACUCGCUGUGAAGAUGCAGUGUACCCGCGGCAAGACGGAAAGACCCCGUGAACCUUUACUAUAGCUUGACACUGAACAUUGAGCCUUGAUGUGUAGGAUAGGUGGGAGGCUUUGAAGUGUGGACGCCAGUCUGCAUGGAGCCGACCUUGAAAUACCACCCUUUAAUGUUUGAUGUUCUAACGUGGACCCGUUACCCGGGUUGCGGACAGUGUCUGGUGGGUAGUUUGACUGGGGCGGUCUCCUCCUAAAGAGUAACGGAGGAGCACGAAGGUUGGCUAAUCCUGGUCGGACAUCAGGAGGUUAGUGCAAUGGCAUAAGCCAGCUUGACUGCGAGCGUGACGGCGCGAGCAGGUGCGAAAGCAGGUCAUAGUGAUCCGGUGGUUCUGAAUGGAAGGGCCAUCGCUCAACGGAUAAAAGGUACUCCGGGGAUAACAGGCUGAUACCGCCCAAGAGUUCAUAUCGACGGCGGUGUUUGGCACCUCGAUGUCGGCUCAUCACAUCCUGGGGCUGAAGUAGGUCCCAAGGGUAUGGCUGUUCGCCAUUUAAAGUGGUACGCGAGCUGGGUUUAGAACGUCGUGAGACAGUUCGGUCCCUAUCUGCCGUGGGCGCUGGAGAACUGAGGGGGGCUGCUCCUAGUACGAGAGGACCGGAGUGGACGCAUCACUGGUGUUCGGGUUGUCAUGCCAAUGGCACUGCCCGGUAGCUAAAUGCGGAAGAGAUAAGUGCUGAAAGCAUCUAAGCACGAAACUUGCCCCGA